rnacentral:lncRNA from 1 species
AUGGAGACACUUCUAAGCGCGUCACCUCGCCUUUCGUUUCAGAACGGAAAGGGUCCUCUUUGCUCCUGAAGACGGUAAAUCACCGGCUGCGUGGUGGUUCUCAGAAGACACUUAAAGGGCUGAGUUGGAUGCUCUCCAUAGCACCCUUGCCAAAAGAGUUCGGAAAUGACUUCCAGCUUCCCACAGUCAUAAAAUGGCACAGUUUGGCAUCUUUAAGGUCACAGACUACCUAUUCUAAACCUUCUGACUAGUUCUGAAGAGUAUGGAGCUUACAUAGAUUCCUAAGGUAAAUGAUCAAUUUCUAAGCAAGACAUAAUGGAUUCAAUUUUGGUAUGAAUUCAGGCAUUGUCU